GAAAAAUCGGCAGAAGAGAAUUUAUAAUAGUGAUCAAGACAAUAAAAAUAGCAUGGAAAUUCCUAAACAUAAAAAUGAAAGAUGCAAAUUUGAAAAACAAAUAGAUGAGAAAAUACUUGUUUUAUUCAAACAAAUAAACAACAUCAUAGCUGUUGUACAGUGAUUGAAAAACAAAUAUUUUGGGAGAAAGAAAAUGUAAUUAGCACUUGUAAGUUAUUACUCCACAGAACCUAGAAACACAAGGAAUGGUAAGGAUGUGGAUUUUUGCUUAGCUCAAAAUACAGUAUUCCUAGUUUCUUCAAUAUUUACAUAUAUGUCACACCUAUAUAUUUGUCCUUCGGCUAACCCUUUCUCCAGCCCAACAACCAAAAAAUGAGUUCAACAACAAUCUACUUUGACCUCCUCAUUCAAUCUCAUCGCUCUCCCCAAGGUUUAGAUAAAAAAGAAUUCACACCAAUAUUCUUUUGCAUGAAGUGUUAAGUGGUUUUGUUCAAUUAAUAAUUUUUCUCUUAUUUUCCAUGUGGGUUUCUGUUUAUCUUGUGAAUCUUAAAAUUUUGGCUCACUGAUUUGAUGAUUUCUUUAGCUACUAUGAGUUUGUUGACAUGUGCUCAAUUGGUUGGAUUAUCCCCCAAAGAAUUGAUGUUGCAAUUUUUACCAUGCAAGGCUUGCUUCUAUAACUGUUUCUUUUGCAUCAAUGAUGGUGUGGGCUAGAAGCAGAUUUGUAAUCUAAUAAGCAGGGCAGGUGAAAGUUGAUCAUGGCUAACGGCUAACCUAACUUGAAUGGCAGAAUAACUGUGAAGGAAAGUAUACUUGUUGAGG
rnacentral:misc_RNA from 1 species